rnacentral:rRNA from 1 species
UAUGGGGGGGGCAAGCGUUGUUCGGAAUUACUGGGCGUAAAGGGCCAGUAGGCGGCCAACUAAGUCGGAUGUGAAAUCCCCAGGCUCAACUUGGGAACUGCAUCCGAUACUGGAUGGCUUGAAUUCGGGAGAGGGAUGCAGAAUUCCAGGUGUAGCGGUGAAAUGCGUAGAUAUGCGGAGGAACACCGAUGGCGAAGGCAAUCCCCUGGGCCUGCACUGACGCUCAUGCACGAAAGCGUGGGGAGCAAACAGG